GCUCAACCGGGGAGGGUCAUUGGAAACUGGGGAACUUGAGUGCAGAAGAGGAGAGUGGAAUUCCACGUGUAGCGGUGAAAUGCGUAGAGAUGUGGAGGAACACCAGUGGCGAAGGCGACUCUCUGGUCUGUAACUGACGCUGAGGCGCGAAAGCGUGGGGAGCGAACAGGAUUAGAUACCCUGGUAGUCCACGCCGUAAACGAUGAGUGCUAAGUGUUAGAGGGUUUCCGCCCUUUAGUGCUGCAGCAAACGCAUUAAGCACUCCGCCUGGGGAGUACGGUCGCAAGACUGAAACUCAAAGGAAUUGACGGGGGCCCGCACAAGCGGUGGAGCAUGUGGUUUAAUUCGAAGCAACGCGAAGAACCUUACCAGGUCUUGACAUCCUCUGACAACCCUAGAGAUAGGGCUUCCCCUUCGGGGGCAGAGUGACAGGUGGUGCAUGGUUGUCGUCAGCUCGUGUCGUGAGAUGUUGGGUUAAGUCCCGCAACGAGCGCAACCCUUGAUCUUAGUUGCCAGCAUUCAGUUGGGCACUCUAAGGUGACUGCCGGUGACAAACCGGAGGAAGGUGGGGAUGACGUCAAAUCAUCAUGCCCCUUAUGAACUGGGCUACACACGUGCUACAAUGGGCAGAACAAAG
rnacentral:rRNA from 1 species